rnacentral:rRNA from 1 species
AUUGGUGGUUAUAGCGGGAGGGUUCCACCUCUUCCCAUUUCGAACAGAGAAGUUAAGACUCCUAGCGCUGAUGGUACUGCGUCAAGUACGUGGGAGAGUAGGUCGCUGCCAAUA